UACGUAGGGGGCUAGCGUUGUCCGGAAUCAUUGGGCGUAAAGCGCGCGUAGGCGGCCAGAUAAGUCCGGUGUGAAAGUCACAGGCUCAACCUGUGAAUGCCGCUGGAAACUGUCUGGCUCGAGUCCGGAAGAGGAGAGUGGAAUUCCCGGUGUAGCGGUGAAAUGCGCAGAUAUCGGGAAGAACACCCGUGGCUAAGGCGGCUCUCUAGUACGGUACUGACGCUGAGACGCGAAAGCGUGGGGAGCGAACAGG
rnacentral:rRNA from 1 species